rnacentral:piRNA from 1 species
UGCACAUGUGACUGGUACCACUUUUGUGUU